GUGACGUAAUGCUACAUUUCUCCAAAUCUGUUCCCAUGAACAAACAAACUCAUCUACAUCUUGUACGGCCUGAGGGAGAGACCAUUUUGAACUAUUCCUUGAAUUUUACUCUGAAAUGUGACUUUUAUGUUCACUUUAAUGAGAGUUUCAAACUCUAUGUAAAUGGUGACAAAUACAACAUCCGCCGCAAACAGCAAUCCGCAUGUCGAUGAACCGGUGUUGUUAUUUCUUUCUUAUAUGUGUGUUUAGUAUUGCAAACAAUAAUUGAAAUUCAACAAAUACCUUGUAAAAACUACCAUAGUGUUAACUUAUCUUAUAAGUGGAAACUAUUUGCAUGAACUUCAACUUCACAGUAAUACAUUUUAGUGACUUUUUGUUUCAUUCUGUUUGUUUUAUACUGAAUGCUGGUGAUUCUAUCUAUUUUCUGAGCUUUGUAAGUGCACAUAACUAUUUUUGUCUAAAAAUGAUGAUGAUGACGAUGACUAUCAUGGUAAAACAACUAUUCUGAUUGUAUGGCAUGCUUUUGUAAAGGCAUUUGUUGUUGUUUGAGCAGUGUUGGUUGCACCCAUAGAAAAUGUGAAAUAAUGUGGUUAUUAGCUUGGGUCAGUCGCAGCGUUGUCACACUAGGUCACGUUAUGCAUGUGUUUUUAUUACGGAAUGGAUCUUGCUUUGGCUGCCAGUCUACAAAAGGGACCUUGAAUUAUGUCUGUGUUCAAUGCCAUUUUAAUCAACGACCUUCCUUGUGCUUCGCUCAAAUGCUGUCUAAUCCUUUAGAUUCCGCUCUUUACCACAGCGUUCUAGUUAGAAAAAAUGCGUAACGUGACAAGAUCUCCAAGAAUCCACUCACUUUUCUGCUUAAAAACAGAAACACGAUCUUGAUGCACUAACAAAUCGUUAAUGAAACCUAAAUGUAUAUACACUGAAUAACCACCAAAUGAGUGUUUAAUCUGUUAUCAAGUGAGUUCUUCUCCAAACACAAUGGCCUGUAGGUUGAAGUGAUGAGUGAUCUAAUCUAAUCAGGCCACUAAUGGGAAGCUGGUGUGUGUUUGAGUGGGUUACACAUAA